rnacentral:rRNA from 1 species
GUCUAUGGUCAUGCCAGCCUGAACAAGCCUGAUGUCUGAUCUCAGAAGUUAAGCAGGCAGGCCUAGUUAGUACUUGGAUGGGAAACCACCUAGGAAGACCAGGUGCUAUAGGCA